CUCAUUUAGUCGGGGUGCUUGCCUAAGGGCAAGCUGAGAAAUACCCGUUGAACCUGAUGCAGUUAGCACUGACGUAGGAAACUAAAGGCGUAAACCC
rnacentral:ncRNA from 2 species